GGUAGCAUAAUCAUUAGUCUUUUAAUUGGAGACUGGUAUGAAUGGCUAAACGAGAGAUCAACUUUUUUUACCGUAAAAAUUGAAUUUAACUUUUUAGUGAAAAGGCUAAAAUUUUUCAGAAAGACGAGAAGACCCUAUAGAGUUUUAUAAAGGACUAAUACUUUUUAUUUGGAUUUUUAUAAAAAAUAUUAAUAAAUUUAUUUUGUUGGGGCGACAUUUAGAUAAAAAAAACUCUUUAUAAGAAAAAUUUUUAUGAAAAUAUGGAUUGGUCCUUUUAAAAAGAUCAUAAGAAAAAAUUACCUUAGGGAUAACAGCGUAAUCUUUUUUGAGAGUUCUAAUCGACAAGAAGGUUUGCGACCUCGAUGUUGGACUAAAAUUAGGGCAGGGU
rnacentral:rRNA from 1 species